AGCGGGUCUGACUGGACAGACACUUGAUGGGUGUGAUGGAGACAGGGGAGGGGAUGGGUGGUCCUUGUCAAGCUUAUAAGCAGGUGAUGCAGAGGGCUGGAGGAACCUUCACGGCUCACCUGUUCGUCUUCUGGGUCUCACCUCACCGGUACAAACUGCAAUAUGUCUAGACCGAGAGAUUACAGCAGCCAGACCUACCCCCCCGGCCUCACCGGGCCGGUCAAAAGCUUCCCGACCCGCGACAAGAUCGACCCGUCGGGCAAAUCCAGGGAGAAGGACGACAUGGUGGCACUCAACGACAAGUUCGUCAGGUUGAUCGACAAGGUGAAACACCUGGAGGAUGAGAAUAAGAAGCUUGACAUGAAGAGGAAGAUCCUCAAGGACCAGGGCGACUAUGAGGGGAAGGUCGACGACAUCGUCAAGCAUCUGGAGAACGAGAUGGAGCAGCAGAUCGAGAACUUGCUCCGGGACCAAGACAAGCUGGAGGCGGAGCUUCUCCAGAACCAGGAGGAGGUGGAAGACACCAAGAAGAGGUAUGAGGACAAUUUAGCAAAGAAAGCCGAACUUGAGAACGAUUUUAUCAUCACGAAAAAGGACGUCGAUGAAGGUCACCUGGAGGCAGUAGAUCUGGCUCUGGAGCUGGAGGACCUGAUGGGGAAACUGGACUUCCUCAGGAUUGGCUAUGAUGAGGAGAUCAAGGAGCUGGAGUCGAUCAUCCAAAACGAGACGGUGGUCCUACGCGACGACAGCAAGCGGUCUCUGGACAUGGACAAGAUCGUCGAGGGAGUCAAGACCCAGUACGCCAACAUGGCCGGCCGCACCAGGGAGGAAGCCGAGCAGUGGAACCAGAAAAAGAUGGAUGCCAUGGUCUCGACUGCAGGGCAGCGGGAGAAGGAUGUGCGUGAUUUAAGGCGGGAGAUCUCAGACCUGCUGCGCCACAUCCAGAGGCUCAACGGGGACCUGGAGGCCCUCCAGAGGAAGGAGGAUUCCCUGAAGAAGGACAUCGACGACGUGAAGACAGAAGGAGACAAGAGCCUGGAGAACUCUCGGGAGGACAUCGCAAAGCUGGAGGAGGCCUUGCGGCGGGCCAAGCAAGACUUGGCCGGACAGAUCCGCGAGCACCAGGCGCUGAUGAACCUGAAGCUGGCCCUGGACAUCGAGAUCGCCACCUACCGCAAGCUGCUGGAGGGCGAGGAGCAGAGGUAUGCGAGGAGAUCAUCACGUCGGUUAUCGUGUACCACCAAUGCGUUAUAGUUCCAACUAACAAAGGUCUCUCCCUCGGCUCCUUCCCUGUGAAGAAUGAACCACCUCAUGCGCAACGCAGAUUUCUAAAAAAUAAGAAAACCAACCAAUCCACGUCCUUACUUGCACGCAGACGUUCCGCUGCCAUCGGAGCAACACCUGCCCGAGAAGCCACGAGUCCCAAACCCCCCCCCCCCCCUCCAAUAAACGCCUGCUGAUCCGGGUGGAGGCCGGCAGAGUCGUGCCCGAAAGCUCCCAUUACACCGACGACUGACCCGGCACGGUCCAAUCACACCUCUCUGUCUGCAGCUUUACACUACAUCCGCAACAUGUGAUUAAAGUAAUGAAUUAAACUCCUCCGGGAAUCAUGAUGAAAGUGGCUUUUUAAAUGCUAUCGUUGAACAAAAGCUUCUUGGCAGGUGGGACGGUUUUUUCCCUCGAAUCCAGAGACGUUUUGUUUAUGUCGAGCAGUGUUUAAAAAAAAAAAAUGUCUUAUCUUUGUUGGCCUUCGCAAAUACUCGUGUUCUCGGUUCCACCGGUGUGCGUUCCCUCGUGCCUUUUCUGUCUGCUUUAUAUCUCAAACAUGUCCAAAAGAUCACAAGGGAGUCAGAGGGGCAUCAACGUUUUACGAUUCAAUAUUUAUAACUGGACACGAUAAAUAAAUAAAGCGCCGUGAACAAUA